GCAUGCCCGUGCAACGUGGCCUCUGCCCGAACCGACCCUGGCGUACUUCCCCAACGCCAGGUUCGUGCCUUCGGACAGGGACCUCGGUGCAGGGGCGUCCCGCC
rfam:Mycobacterium parmense strain DSM 44553 contig_11, whole genome shotgun sequence.